UUCAAACUCAGCGGCUUCCAGGAUUGGCGCAAACCGUCUCCUUAGCAACAAGGUUGCUGCCGUAGAACGAGCGGUUCUAGGUGUAAGGAACGUGAUGACGUAAAGCCGCGACGUCGUAAGCCAGGCGCAGGGCGGCGAAAGUCGGCGGACCUGACUGGAACUUUUCGAAGGACGCGAGGAGGAGCAGGUGGACGACCCCAGGCGUCAGCGCAGAAAGCAGGAGAGUCCGCGGCGCCAUAACGAUCUUCGAUAUCUCAUCGCGUCUCAUCCCUUAUCUGCGGGUCAGAGGCAGGGAGCACCUGACAAGUGGCGCCCGAACAGGAACCCUGAAACUCAGAAUGGGGGACAGUUGAAACUCAGAGCGGGGAAACUGAAGAUCUUUGAUCUGCCUUUGCAAACUCCCCCACUGUCUGAAACCAGAUCAGACACAUACAAGCGUGAGAGAGAACUCUUAGAUGAUGUGGUGAAAUCAAGUAAGUGAUCUUCAUCCCCACAUCUGUUUGACUCCUCUUUGUCCUCCUCUUCCUCUUCCGAGACUGACGAAUAGAGUUCUAUUCGUUCCUCUCAUCAUAAAAAACCCUCGGCUCCUGUUCCUGCUGCGUCUGCCUUCAUGGCAUAAAGCCCAGAGGGAGGGUGAUAUAUAUAUAGAUGCUUAUCUGACACCCUUAGUAGCACCAGUUAAUUUAACUCCUUGUGGGCCAAAUGAGGAUCCCAAUUUCCACAAGGAGGGGGUCAAAGCACUUUAUAUGCCUAUUCCUUACAAGACCUUAAAACACUUUAAACAGGUUAUUUCCUCUUAUGGUUCUAAUUCUCCAUAUGUUGUGGGUCUCUUGAGGGGGUUGGCAGAACAGGAAAGGAUGAUCCUUCAUGACUGGGAUUUAUUGGCUCAUAGUUUAGACUCUUCUGAGUUUUUACAAUUUAAGAUGUGGUGGUAUGAGGAAGCAAAAGCACAAGCUUUGAGAAAUCAGCACGCCAAUCCUCCAAUUCUUGUAACUGCUGAACAACUAGCAGGACAAGGAGACUGGCUGCAGUUAGAAAGACAUACUGGGUAUGAUGACACAUAGUAGGUGGACACUAAAAGGAUUAAUAGUAAGACCCGGGGUUAUUGAUCAGGAUUAUAUGGGUGAGAAUGAAAUAAUGGUAUCAUCUGAAAAAGAAUUAUAUAUACCUCAAGGAGAAAGAAUUGCUCAAUUACUUUUACUUUCCUAUCUCCCACCUACAACAACACCUUAUGAAAGGGGACAAGGUGGAUUUGGAAGUACAAAUAAACAAAUAUGGCUUAAUACAAAAAUCACAUCUGACAGACCUCAAUGCAAAAUCAGUAUUCAGGGCAAGUCUUUCAUAGGAUUAUUAGACAUAGGGGCUGAUGUGUCUGUAAUUGCUCUUAAACAUUGGCCAAAAAAUUGGCCCAAACAAGAAGAGCAUAUUCAAUUUUCAGGUAUUGUACAGCCUCUCAAGUAUGGCAAAGUUCAGCUACCUUACAUUGUCUAGGCCCUGAAAAACAAUUAGCUUUGUUGAAACCUUUAAUUGUUGAUGUAGCAAUUAAUCUCUGGGGAUGAGACUUGAUGCAACAUGGCAUACUACACUGUCUUUUGAUGAGCCUUCAUCAAUUCAGUCUUUUUCUUAGGGGUCAUUGAUACACAGCUGCCAGCUCCUAUACCAUUACAGUGGGCCACUCAGACGCCUGUUUGGGUGGAUCAGUGGCUCCUCAAUAAAGAAAAACUGGCAGCCUUACACACAUUAUUUCAAGAACAACUUCAGCUAGGUACAUUAGAAUUUUCCACAAGCCCAUGGAAUUCCCCUGUAUUUGUUAUAAAAAAGAAGUCAGAAAAUUGGAGACUCUUAUAUGACUUAAGACAAAUUAAUGCAGUCCUUAAACCUAUGGGACCUUUACAACAAGGCCUCCCUUCUCCAGCUGUGGUUCCAAAAGACUGGAACAUGACUAUCAUUGAUCUUAAAGAUUGUUUUUUACAAUUCCCUUAGCCGUAAUAGGGAAAAGUUUGCUUUUACUGUCCCUUCCUUAAACUUGCAGUCCCCUUCAGAAAGAUUACAGUGGAAAGUACUUCCUCAAGGAAUGUUAAAACAGCCCUACAAUUUAUCAGAAUUAUGUGCAUAGGGCUCUUCAGCCUAUACGUGAAAAAUGGCCCUAAGCUUUUAUCAUUCAUUAUAUGGAUGAUAUUGUCAUAGCCCUACCUAAACAUCUCUCUCUCAACACUAUUCUCAAUGAGACUGAAACUGAAUUAAAACAAUGGGGCUUUAAAAAGCCCCUGAUAAAAUACAAAUACAAUACCCAAUGAAUUAUUUGGGGAAUAAAAUUCAAUAAUCCCUCAGAAAAUUCAAAUAAGGAGAGGAGGUCAUCUUACAACUUUAAAUGACUUUCAAAAGCUCUUAGAAGAUAUCAAUUGGAUCUGACCGUUAUUAGGAAUUCCUAUUUAUAAACUACAACAUCUUUUCAAUACCUUGAAAAGACCCCAGAUCUUAAUAGGCCUAAAGACAACCUCAAAGGCUGAAGAAGAAGUCAAGUGGAUAGAACAACACAUUUCAAAGGCUCAGUUAUCAAAAAUUGACUUACACAAACCCUUACUUUUAUUAAUUUACUUUACUCCCCAUCCUCCAACAGGGAUUGCUCUGUUGAUGUGACGGUUGGUUAGAAUGGAUAUUUUUGCAAUAUCAAACUAAACCCUCGUUACAACCUUACAUUGACAAAGUAGCCUCCAUUAUUCUUAAAGAAUGACAGAGACUAAGACAGAUGAUUGGUCAAGAAGACCCUUACUCCAUUAUUCUUCCAUUAUCUAAACAAAAUAUUAUGCAAGUAUUUCAAGAAAAUACUCUUUGGCAAAUUGCACUUUAUGAUAUUUUAGGAAAUAUUGACUGUCAUUACCCUAAGAAUAAAUUAGUUUCCUUUUUUUCAGUGCCAUCAAUGGAUCCUUCCUCAAAAAACUUCUCUUAAUCUAUUAUUAAAUAUACUGUUAUCUGUUUUACAGAUGGUACAAAAUCUUUUAAAGCAGCCUAUACGACUUGUUCUGGUUUGUCAAAAACUUUUCAAACGUCUUUUACUUCUACACAACAAAAUGAGUUAUAUGCUGUAUUGCAAGCUCUGCAAGAUUUCCCAGAUCCUCUUAAUAUUGUUACUGACUCUGCUUACGCUGCCUUUUCCGUUCCUCUAUUAGAAACUGCGACAUUGGGCACCGUACAAUCUCCUGUUAACACUUUAUUUUCUCAGUUACAGGUGUGUAUCCAUUAACAUCUGCAUCCCUCCUUCUUCACUCAUAUACGAUCACAUUCUAAUUUACCAGGUCCUUUAUCAUACUGUAAUGAUAAAGUAGACAAGCUUGUUUCUUUAGUUAAUUACUCACAAGCUCAGUGCUAUCAUGACCUGAGUCAUGCUCCCUCCUUCACCUUACAAAAUGUUUCUCUCUGCCUCUGAAGCUCAAAAUAUCUUGAAUUCUUGUCCAACCUGUUCUCAAAUCAAUUCUCAUUUACAAGCAGGAACCGUCCGCAGGGGAACACAUCCUAACACCCUAUGGCAAAUGGAUGUUACUAUUUUUCCUGAAUUUGGAACUCUCAAACAUGUUUAUGUUUCCAUUGAUGCUUAUUCUUCCACUUGGUGGACCACAGCUUAACAGGAAAACGAUCUCAUCAUGUUAUUACUCAUCUUUUACAAGGAUUUGCAGUAUUUGGUGUUCCUGCUACCAUAAAAACUGACAGUGCUUCAGUUUACCUCUCCUCUAUGCUAAAAAAAAUUUUUCAGCUAUAUAAUAUCACUCAUAAAACAGGCAUUCCUUACAAUUCUACAGUUCAAGCUCUAAUUGAAGGUCAUCAUCUUACUCUUAAGCAUUAUUUAUUAAAACAAAGAGCGGGAUUACUUCCUGAUAUGAUAAAAUUAACUGCAAAUCAAUGAUUAAUGCAUGCUUUACAUAUCCUUAAUUUUGAUCUUUUAAAGGGUGACAGAUGAUCGGCUAUUGAAGUACAUUUUUCUAAUAAUAUUUAUUUUCCUGAAACAAUAGCAGUUCCUGUGUGGUGGUCUCCAAUAGGUUCACAAUGGUAUAAAGGUCAUAUCAAAGUGUGGGGCAAAGGGUUUGUAUUGUUACAGAGAGGAUCAACGGCUGAUUUGGUUACCCAGAAAACGAAUUAAAAUAUGAAGAACUUCCAACAUCAGCAUCCUCUGGAAGAGUCAUUCCAGAAGAUGACCAUCAAAAAACUUCAACAAAGGCCUGUACAUCAGAUACAGAAAAUUGAAGCCCAUCAAAUGAUAGUAUCUUUGUUUUUAUUCCCAAUAAUGGCACUUCUGCAUGUACAUACUACACAAGCUUGCAUUAUAACAGCAAGCGUAACUAACCCCCCUUAUUUAGGCCAUGGUGUAGUUCUUCAUUGCUUAUUUACUUGCUGCACUCCUGUGGGCCCUAUUGUUUAGAAGAAGAAUGGCAAAGAGAUAUAUAGACAAAAGAAUGGAGGAAGACUUGGAUGGUAUAAUACAACUAAUCAGUCUAAAAGAAAUAAUAUUCACUGUGAUAUUUACAAAAGAGUUUCGACCUGAAAUGAUAAUGGCAAUUAUUCUUGCAAGAAAUUUCAAAAGGGAGCUCCUGACAUAUCACUCUCUCCAGAAUAUGAAUUUUACUCACCUAACAUGUGGUUCCAACUCACAAGUCAGAGAUUGAACAAGUCAUCUUUUUGUGUAGCAGGAGAUUCCUCUAUUAGUAGAUUAUUAAAGAAAAUUUUGAUAGGUAUAGGACUCCCUUUCUCCGUGUUCACUAAUAUUUCGGGAAUAAACAUUACUCACCCUCCUAAAAUUCUUACUUGUGAAGUUCAAUUGAACUUACUUGUCAGUACUACUAUAAUUUCUGAAUGUAUAUGUAUUAAUUGCACCCAUAUACCUUCCUACUGCAAUUCUACCACUUGUGUAAAAUGGCCUUUUGGAUAUAGACUUCCAAAUGGCUGGGUAUUCUUAUGCAAUAACAAAACAUAUCAAGCCUUCUCUUCACAUUAUCAAGGUGUUUGUGGUGUGGGGCAUAUUCUUCCUGCCCUUAUAGACCAUCCUGGAUAUAAACACAGGUGGGUUUCUCGAGCCCUGCCACAUGAUUGUGAUGACAGCUUGAAGUUGGAUCCUGUUGCUGUGGCUAUUGCUGCUGCAUUCAUCUUGCUGGUUCAUGGACUUGUCAUAGGAAUGAAGAAAGAAAUAUCCAAGCUGGCCUGUGCAUACAGUAAAACAACAAAUUUGACUGCUUCUAUAUUGUCUGAACUUAACCAAGAAUUAGGAGAAGUACGAGUUGCCGUACUUCAAAAUCACGCUACUAUAGGCCAUCUAUUGUUAAAAGAACAUAUGGGAUGUGAACAGUUUCCAGGAAUGUGUUGUUUUAAUUUAUCUGAUUUUUCUCAAACUAUUCAAAAUCAAUUAGACAAUAUGCAUCAUAUUAUUGAUAAAUU